UAGCAUAAUCAAUAGUCUUUUAAUUGGAGGCUUGAAUGAAAGGUUUGACGGAAAGGGAGCUGUCUCCUUAGUUUAUUUUGAAUUUAACUUUUGUGUGAAAAGGCAUUAAUAGUAUAGAGGGACGAUAAGACCCUAUAAAACUUAACAUAUAUAUCUAUUUCUUGGAUUUGUUUAGUAAUCAUAGAGUAGCUAGGUGUGUUUUGCUGGGGCGGCAUGAAUAUAAUUUGUAACUGUUUAUAAGAUAAAAUAUAGAUAUAUAGAUUUUGGUCCUUUAUUAAGGAGUGAAGAUUAAGUUACUU
rnacentral:rRNA from 1 species